UUGAACGCUGGCGGCAUGCCUUACACAUGCAAGUCGAACGGUAACAGGUCUUCGGAUGCUGACGAGUGGCGAACGGGUGAGUAAUACAUCGGAACGUGCCCGAUCGUGGGGGAUAACGAGGCGAAAGCUUUGCUAAUACCGCACACGAUCUACGGAUGAAAGCGGGGGAUCUUCGUACCUCGCUCGGACGGAUCGGCCGAUGGCAGAUUAGGUAGUUGGUGGGAUAAAAGCUUACCAAGCCGACGAUCUGUAGCUGGUCUGAGAGGAUGAUCAGCCACACUGGGACUGAGACACGGCCCAGACUCCUACGGGAGGCAGCAGUGGGGAAUUUUGGACAAUGGGCGAAAGCCUGAUCCAGCCAUGCCGCGUGCAGGAUGAAGGCCUUCGGGUUGUAAACUGCUUUUGUACGGAACGAAAAGCCUCUUUCUAAUAAAGAGGGGUCAUGACGGUACCGUAAGAAUAAGCACCGGCUAACUACGUG
rnacentral:rRNA from 1 species